GAUGAAGAACGCAGCGAAAUGCGAUACUUGGUGUGAAUUGCAGAAUCCCGUGAACCAUCGAGUCCUUGAACGCAAGUUGCGCCCGAAGCCAUUAGGCCGAGGGCACGCCUGCCUGGGCGUCACACGUCGUUGCCCCCCCAUCUACUCCUUCGGGAUUGCGGGGGGCGGAUGAUGGCCUCUCGUGCGCCUCGUCGCGCGGUUGGCCUAAAUGCCAAGUCCUCGGCGACGCACGCCACGACAAUCGGUGGUUGCGAAACCUCGGUUGCCUGUCGUGUGCGGUCGUCGCGCAUCGAGGGCUCGAAAAAAUUGCCGGGCUUCGGCUCGACUUUCAACGCGACCCCAGGUCAGGCGGGGUUACCCGCUGAAUUUAAGCAUAUCAAUAAGCGGAGGA
rnacentral:misc_RNA from 1 species